rnacentral:rRNA from 1 species
CAGUCGCCACGGUAAUACAGAGGGUGCGAGCGUUAAUCGGAUUUACUGGGCGUAAAGCGUGCGUAGGCGGCUUCUUAAGUCGGAUGUGAAAUCCCUGAGCUUAACUUAGGAAUUGCAUUCGAUACUGGGAAGCUAGAGUAUGGGAGAGGAUGGUAGAAUUCCAGGUGUAGCGGUGAAAUGCGUAAAGAUCUGGAGGAAUACCGAUGGCGAAGGCAGCCAUCUGGCCUAAUACUGACGCUGAGGUACGAAAGCAUGGGGAGCAAACAGGAUUAGAUACCCCAGUAGUCCCUGUCUCUUAUAC